GCCUAAAUACUACCUGAUGACCGAUAGAGGAGCAGUACCGUGAGGGAAAGGUGAAAAGGACCCCGGGAGGGGAGUGAAAGAGAACCUGAAACCUUGUGCUUACAAGCAGUCAGAGCACGUUAAAGUGUGAUGGCGUACUUUUUGUAGAACGGUCCGGCGAGUUAUAGUAACGAGCAAGCUUAAGGUAUUCAGUACCGGAGGCGAAGCGAAAGCGAGUCUGAAUAGGGCGCAUGAAGUUCGUUGCCAUAGACCCGAAACCGGGUGACCUACGCAUGAGCAGGUUGAAGUGGGGGUGAAACCCCAUGGAGGACCGAACCAACCCCCGUUGCAAUGGUGGUGGAUGACUUGUGCGUAGCGGUGAAAUUCCAAUCGAACUCGGAGAUAGCUGGUUCUCCCCGAAAUAGCUUUAGGGCUAGCGUUAGUUUAGAUUACCGGAGGUAAAGCACUGAAUGGUUUAGGGGCUGAUAAAGUUACCGACGCCUAUCAAACUCUGAAUGCCGGAUAAUUGAUGACUAGCAGUCAGACAGUGUGAGAUAAGUUUCAUUGUCAAAAGGGAAACAGCCCAGACCUACAGCUAAGGUCCCAAAUGUAUGCUAAGUGGAAAACGAUGUGGAAUUGCGAAAACAACCAGGAUGUUGGCUUAGAAGCAGCCACACAUUAAAAGAGUGCGUAAUAGCUCACUGGUCGAGUGACUCUGCGCGGAAAAUGUAACGGGGCUAAGCAUACAACCGAAGCUUAGGAUUGUCUAAAGACAGUGGUAGGGGAGCGUUCUGUAUGGGGUGAAGUCGCAGCGAGAGCAGCGGUGGACUGUACAGAAGUGAGAAUGCCGGAAUGAGUAGCGAGAAUUAUGUGGGAAUCAUAAUGGCCGAAAAUCUAAGGUUUCUUGGGGAAGGUUCGUCCGCCCAAGGUAAGUCGGGAGCUAAGCUCGGCCGCGAGGCGUAGGCGAUGCACAUACGGUAGAAAUUCCGUAACCACCGAACUUUAAGCAUGAGGGACACUUUGAGAUAGCGGAACCCGGGCGUUGGUUGACCCGGGCGAAAGGGACCGAAAUAUAGUAGGGAAGUCCGCGAUGCUCGGAGGCGAGAAAAGCUCAUGUGUAUACUAAGGUGCCCGUACCGCAAACCGACACAGGUAGAUGAGGAGAGAAUCCUAAGGCCAACGGGAGAAGGGUUGUUAAGGAACUCGGCAAGAUGACCCCGUAACUUCGGAAGAAGGGGAGCCUCGAAAGAGGCCGCAGUGAAUAGGCCCAAGCAACUGUUUACCAAAAACACAGGUUUAUGCUAAAUCGAAAGAUGACGUAUAUGAGCUGACGCCUGCCCGGUGCCGGAAGGUUAAGAGGAGAUGUCAACCGCAAGGUGAAGCAUUGAAUUGAAGCCCCGGUAAACGGCGGCCGUAACUAUAACGGUCCUAAGGUAGCGAAAUUCCUUGUCAGGUAAGUUCUGACCCGCACGAAAGGCGUAAUGAUUUGGGCACUGUCUCAACAGCCCGCCCGGCGAAAUUGUAGUA
rnacentral:rRNA from 1 species